rnacentral:lncRNA from 1 species
CAGUACAGCAGACGUUUUCUUUCUAGUGACAUGUGAGAGUGGGCGGUUGACCAUCAAACAGCCUUUCAAAAUUAAACCUCAGUCUCUCUUCAAAAAGAAAACAAAAAUAAUACGAGACAAACUUUGGCUAUAGACCGAAACAUCCGAUAUGGUGGAAGUACAACAUUAACCAUACUGAUGGGGCCAACAUCUGUGGAAAUGAUGAACAUGAAAUGAGAAGAAAACAAAUCCCUGGUGGGAGGAGGGGGGGAUCACAGAACAAAGUUAUCUCAGGAUCCUA